rnacentral:rRNA from 1 species
AGAGUUUGAUCCUGGCUCAGAACGAACGCUGGCGGCAUGCCUAACACAUGCAAGUCGAACGAACCUUCGGGUUAGUGGCGGACGGGUGAGUAACGCGUGAGAAUCUGCCCUCAGGAGGGGGACAACAGCUGGAAACGGCUGCUAAUACCCCAUAUGCCGCGAGGUGAAAUGAAUUUCGCCUGAGGAUGAGCUCGCGUCUGAUUAGCUAGUUGGUGUAGGUAAUGGCUCACCAAGGCAUCGAUCAGUAGCUGGUCUGAGAGGAUGAUCAGCCACACUGGGACUGAGACACGGCCCAGACUCCUACGGGAGGCAGCAGUGGGGAAUUUUCCGCAAUGGGCGAAAGCCUGACGGAGCAACGCCGCGUGAGGGAUGAAGGCCUCUGGGCUGUAAACCUCUUUUCUCAAGGAAGAAGAUAUGACGGUACUUGAGGAAUAAGCCACGGCUAAUUCCGUGCCAGCAGCCGCGGUAAUACGGGAGUGGCAAGCGUUAUCCGGAAUUAUUGGGCGUAAAGCGUCCGCAGGCGGCUUUUCAAGUCUGCUGUUAAAGCGUGGAGCUUAACUCCAUCAUGGCAGUGGAAACUGAAAGGCUUGAGUAUGGUAGGGGCAGAGGGAAUUCCCGGUGUAGCGGUGAAAUGCGUAGAUAUCGGGAAGAACACCAGUGGCGAAGGCGCUCUGCUGGGCCAUUACUGACGCUCAUGGACGAAAGCCAGGGGAGCGAAAGGGAUUAGAUACCCCUGUAGUCCUGGCCGUAAACGAUGAACACUAGGUGUCGGGGGAAUCGACCCCUUCGGUGUCGUAGCUAACGCGUUAAGUGUUCCGCCUGGGGAGUACGCACGCAAGUGUGAAACUCAAAGGAAUUGACGGGGGCCCGCACAAGCGGUGGAGUAUGUGGUUUAAUUCGAUGCAACGCGAAGAACCUUACCAGGGUUUGACAUCCUGCGAACCUCUUAGAAAUUUGAGGGUGCCUUCGGGAAUGCAGUGACAGGUGGUGCAUGGCUGUCGUCAGCUCGUGUCGUGAGAUGUUGGGUUAAGUCCCGCAACGAGCGCAACCCACGUUUUUAGUUGCCAGCAUUUAGUUGGGCACUCUAGAAAGACCGCCGGUGAUAAACCGGAGGAAGGUGUGGAUGACGUCAAGUCAUCAUGCCCCUUACACCCUGGGCUACACACGUACUACAAUGCUACGGACAAAGGGCAGCAAACUCGCGAGAGCUAGCAAAUCCCAUAAACCGUGGCUCAGUUCAGAUCGUAGGCUGCAACUCGCCUACGUGAAGUAGGAAUCGCUAGUAAUCGCAGGUCAGCAUACUGCGGUGAAUACGUUCCCGGGCCUUGUACACACCGCCCGUCACACCAUGGAAGUUGGCCAUGCCUGAAGUCGUUACUCCAACCCUUGUGGAGGAGGACGCCGAAGGUGGGGCUAAUGACUGGGGUGAAGUCGUAACAAGGUA